GGGGCGGUAGCUCAGCUGGUAGAGCGCUUCCCUCGCACGGAAGAGGCCGGGAGUUCGAAUCUCCUCCGCUCCA
rnacentral:tRNA from 1 species